UACGAAGGGGGCUAGCGUUGCUCGGAAUUACUGGGCGUAAAGGGCGCGUAGGCGGCACUGUUAGUCAGGCGUGAAAGUCCUGGGCUCAACCUGGGAACUGCGCUUGAUACGGCAGAGCUAGAGGAUGGAAGAGGCUCGCGGAAUUCCCAGUGUAGAGGUGAAAUGCGCAGAUAUCGGGAGGAACACCAAUGGCGAAGGCAGCUCGCUGGGACGGUACUGACGCUGAGACGCGAAAGCGUGGGGAGCAAACAGG
rnacentral:rRNA from 1 species